CACUUUUCUAGAUCUUGGCUGCUGAGGAAACCGUCGACAUCCUCCUGCAGAGUGACAGCAAAUCAUCAUCCAGCUCUCAGGAGUGACCCGGGUUAUGACACUUUACCUCAAACUGGUGCCACCUCCCACAGUCAGCCAGGUGUCUCUCGAAAUGCUGAAACAGAAACCACUCCUACUGAGAGGGCCGGCUUCCACUCAUGAUUCAGUCCUCCUCUCGGAUUACAAUAAAAAGUUGACACAGGGUGCGACCUUUGAGUUUCACUGCAGCUCUGAAACAAGGAUAUUUAUUUUUAUUCUUGCAUCGGCUGAAGGAACACAGGAGCAGCUUAAAGUUUCAAAAUGCAUUUCCUGUUCACCAACUCUACAUGGCGACUUCUUAAAGAUCUGCACAAGAAGGUCCAAAAGACACAGAAAAGCAAUAAACACUGGAUGGUGGGCUAAAGUACACAUGUGCUGGCAACUUUCUUUUUCAAAUGUAUACAUAGUAAAAAAAA